GUACAACCCGAAGCGAACGAGCAAAUCCCGCGGUGGCGUGGAGGGGAAUUAUUUGAGGAAUAUCCCUUGGGAGUUAGGAAUAUUAUCUCCGGCCAGGGAAUAUAUCCUACGGGGUUUAGUAAUACCGAGCGUGGCACCGUUCUCCCUCUUCCUCUCCACCUCUUUGGCUUUCUCCUGCCGCAACCUCUCUCAAAGUCCGGCCUGCCUCCACUGGCCGAUAAUCACAGCAAUAAAGAAGAAUUCGACUUGCAAGCCCAAGUGCGGAGCUCAAUGUCUUGAAAGACAUCCUACUUGCAUAUUAUUUUGUUUAUCAGGUAACUGCUACAUGGUAAGCUCAAGAUCAAUAUACAGACUCUACAGUUGUAUUAUAUGAUAUCACAUUUUGUACUAUUAACUUUAUUCAACAGUUUGACUCAUACAUGCAUGUCUUCAAAGCUUCCAAUGGAUGAUAUUUAGGGAUAUAGGGAAUGCCAUUAAUUUUUUACUUCUAAUUAUAGUAUAGAAAUAGAGGGCAGGCUUAGGCACAUUAGUAAUAUUACUCCAUUAUGACUUAGAUGUUAUAGGUUCGAAAUAUAGAAAUGGUCUCUCUGUACACUAAGUCUAGAGGUAAGGCUGCGUACAUCUGACCCUCCCCUGAUCUUAUAUUUGUGGAAGCUUCAUGCGUCGAGAUGCCCUUUUAAUUAUAGUAUAGAAAUAAUUGAUGCAUUAGACCUAGUACUUGAUUUGACCAAACUAGAGUGCUUCUUUCCUGAGAAUUUAACUAAGAACACAAAUUUCUAGUUAAACAUGGAGUUCCCACUGUAAGACAGUUCUGGAUCCCCUGAUUGUCAAAAUAAUCACAGUCUAAGCUUUUGCUUCCCAAUGCAUAUUCGUAGUUCUUGUUAUGUAAUUUUGAUAAUUCAUUAUGAAAGAUGAAAAAUGUAUUUGGAUUCAUCUAUUUACAUGGAAUUGUUCAGGCAAUAAAAUGCUGGAAUUACUGUUUGUGUGCUUUACUGCUUACUAACAGCAGUGUCUAGCAACAACGAAGCACUCACAAGAUAUUACUUGUAAUACUGUAGAAUAUAUACCAAUUCAAGUAACACACUGGCAUGCAGUGACUGUCAUAAUAACUCCACCAGAGACUAUGAUGGAGCACUUCAGAACAACAAGCACUUUAAAUGAAUUUAAAUAUCCUUUUUCUGUCAAUCAUGGAAGUAGAUGUUAUCUAAAUAGUAGUGCUGAAAGUUCCAGUAUUCUGAUUAAUCAAGUAAAUUUUAUAGAGCUGGUAACUCAAUUUUCUUAUUCAAUGGUUGCCUAUAUAUGUUGCUUGCCUCACAGGUAAAGAUGUUAGACAAAAACCUCCACUCUGGCAUACAUUCUCCAGUCUGAGGUAUAAAACAAGCCAUGUGGGCCACAAAAUGCCAUAUGUCAAUUGACAUCGAGAAGAAGUACUAAUAUAUACAAAGAAACGGUUAUCCUGGCAUACCUAGUCAAGGGAUUUACCUUAGCCGAUGAAGGUUGUUCUCAAGUGACUGACAUUUAAAGUCCAAGUAAACAAAAUAAUACACCGAAUAUUUGGACUGUUUUUUUCAUUUUUCUUUUCCCAGGCACUUUCCUUUCUUUCGAACCUCCUAGAUUAUCCAGUACCACAAAAGGGCAUGUAUUUGGCAUUUUAUAACUUUUGCAGAUAUUAUAAUGACUAAUUACAGAUAUCUAGGUAAAUUACAAAUUUUAACAAUCCCCAGACCAUGUACAUUUUAAAACAUUUCCUUAAAUUAGUUCGAUCUUAUAAGUUCUACUAGCUUAACAAGCAUCAACUGCUAAAAAUACACAAUGAACAAUAUCUUGUUCAGAUAUAACUUAUGGCCUUCUAUUGCAUAGAGUGUACAGGUUCCAAACAUGGUGCUUGCAGGUCUCUGAAGUCAUGAAUGUUGACUGACUAGUUGCUUUGAUUUUUCUUAGGAGUUUGCAAUUACUUCCAGAAAAAAAAAACCAGCAACUUGCACUGUUUAUAGUUGUGAUAAGGUGUGGAGAACAUUUUGAAAAUUAACAUGUUGGCCCAGGCUACACCAUGGGAUACAUAAUCCUCAGAAUUCAGCAGCAACUAGUAGAAAACGGAUGUAAAGUACUGCCCUUUCCGAAUGAAAAUAAGGCAUACCUCUUCUGGGCUUUCAUGGCUCACCAAAUGUCCACCAUGAAGUUCUACCAUUCUUGCAGCUGGUUGCAGCAUCUCUGCUAGUCUCUUUGCAUGAUUUAACUGAGCAAUGAUAUCAUCCCUGUUAAAAUUUUGAAUUGUAAAAUCAGUCUCCUAGCAUUCUCUACCCAUGAUUCUGACAAAUAGCGGUUUGGUUGUUGGCUGAUGAGUGUGAUGUGUGUGCGUGCACGGGUGGGAAGAAAGAAUCAUCAGUCACGGAUCAACAAUAAGUUCCAACCUUCCAUGAAUCACUGAGACCAGAAACCCAGAAGCACGAAUUGUGUCAAGUUCCUUUAGUUUCAUCUUGUGUUUCCAGCACGCAUUGAUUUGGCCUUCAAAACCACAGUUUGAUUGCAUACCAGUUGAUGAUAUGGCCUUCACAUAUUCCUGAACCAACCAAAGUUUAUGCUCAAUAGCAUUGAAAUGAAUGAUCAGACCCAAUAGUAAAAGCAUAUAAAUAAUCAUCACGCUUGUCGUUUUUCAAAAAAAGUAGUCGUUAUCAUCAGUUAAACUACUUUGAGAUUAAACUGAUGGCUCUUAGAGAGAGAACCUAAGAUAUGUAAGCAGUAUUUGCAGUAGAAGGAAAAGUUUAUCAGCACUCGACAACAUGGCUAGAGCUUUCAGACAGAAGAUAUGCAUGAAAGAGAUGCAAGAGUUUGAGGCGGUGGUGAUUUUGGCCAUUUCUUUUUGUCCCAUUGUUAUGAUAUAGAUAAAGAGAACAUUGUCCAUGCAUAGAUAUCAUUUUCAGUGAACAAGCAAGCAUUAUCCUCAAGAGCAAAAAUAUCUUGUCCAAGAGCAAAACUGUAGAAUCUCAUUCCAAGAGAAUGGGCAACCUCAUAAUGUCAAGAUGAAGGGAAAAGCGCGUAAGAAUUUCAGAGGGAAACUUGGUAUCCAUAGAAGUGAUACUGCUGGCUUCAUAUUUUUUUUUUUUUGCUACAGCACUAAUGCCACUUACUUGAUAAAGAAUUUUCCUUCGUGUACACGAUCCAACAUAUUCAUCUAGAUAUUCCUGCCAAUAGAACAAAAAGUGAACAGUUUUUGAAUAAAUUGCUUUUGAAUGAAUUGG